AAAUUGAAGAGUUUGAUCAUGGCUCAGAUUGAACGCUGGCGGCAGGCCUAACACAUGCAAGUCGAACGGUAGCACAGAGAGCUUGCUCUCGGGUGACGAGUGGCGGACGGGUGAGUAAUGUCUGGGAAACUGCCUGAUGGAGGGGGAUAACUACUGGAAACGGUAGCUAAUACCGCAUAACGUCGCAAGACCAAAGAGGGGGACCUUCGGGCCUCUUGCCAUCAGAUGUGCCCAGAUGGGAUUAGCUAGUAGGUGGGGUAACGGCUCACCUAGGCGACGAUCCCUAGCUGGUCUGAGAGGAUGACCAGCCACACUGGAACUGAGACACGGUCCAGACUCCUACGGGAGGCAGCAGUGGGGAAUAUUGCACAAUGGGCGCAAGCCUGAUGCAGCCAUGCCGCGUGUAUGAAGAAGGCCUUCGGGUUGUAAAGUACUUUCAGCGGGGAGGAAGGCGAUAAGGUUAAUAACCUUGUCGAUUGACGUUACCCGCAGAAGAAGCACCGGCUAACUCCGUGCCAGCAGCCGCGGUAAUACGGAGGGUGCAAGCGUUAAUCGGAAUUACUGGGCGUAAAGCGCACGCAGGCGGUCUGUCAAGUCGGAUGUGAAAUCCCCGGGCUCAACCUGGGAACUGCAUUCGAAACUGGCAGGCUAGAGUCUUGUAGAGGGGGGUAGAAUUCCAGGUGUAGCGGUGAAAUGCGUAGAGAUCUGGAGGAAUACCGGUGGCGAAGGCGGCCCCCUGGACAAAGACUGACGCUCAGGUGCGAAAGCGUGGGGAGCAAACAGGAUUAGAUACCCUGGUAGUCCACGCCGUAAACGAUGUCGACUUGGAGGUUGUGCCCUUGAGGCGUGGCUUCCGGAGCUAACGCGUUAAGUCGACCGCCUGGGGAGUACGGCCGCAAGGUUAAAACUCAAAUGAAUUGACGGGGGCCCGCACAAGCGGUGGAGCAUGUGGUUUAAUUCGAUGCAACGCGAAGAACCUUACCUACUCUUGACAUCCAGAGAACUUUCCAGAGAUGGAUUGGUGCCUUCGGGAACUCUGAGACAGGUGCUGCAUGGCUGUCGUCAGCUCGUGUUGUGAAAUGUUGGGUUAAGUCCCGCAACGAGCGCAACCCUUAUCCUUUGUUGCCAGCGGUUAGGCCGGGAACUCAAAGGAGACUGCCAGUGAUAAACUGGAGGAAGGUGGGGAUGACGUCAAGUCAUCAUGGCCCUUACGAGUAGGGCUACACACGUGCUACAAUGGCGCAUACAAAGAGAAGCGACCUCGCGAGAGCAAGCGGACCUCAUAAAGUGCGUCGUAGUCCGGAUUGGAGUCUGCAACUCGACUCCAUGAAGUCGGAAUCGCUAGUAAUCGUGGAUCAGAAUGCCACGGUGAAUACGUUCCCGGGCCUUGUACACACCGCCCGUCACACCAUGGGAGUGGGUUGCAAAAGAAGUAGGUAGCUUAACCUUCGGGAGGGCGCUUACCACUUUGUGAUUCAUGACUGGGGUGAAGUCGUAACAAGGUAACCGUAGGGGAACCUGCGGUUGGAUCACCUCCUUACCUUAAAGAA
rnacentral:rRNA from 2 species